GACUUUUAGAGGAGACCACCACUGUAGAGAUGAAUAUGUUUUAUCUUCAUUGCUUUAAAUAUGUCUAUCUUUAUAAUGAAAGAAGCUAACUUGCCGGUCUACAACCAUAAUAUCCAGAUCACAAGAACCUAGAGACAGCGCUAAAACCACUAGGGAAACAAGCAAGGCAUGUUAUUUACUGUACAAGACUAAAUCCUCUUACAGCCUCUCCACUAGCAAAAAGAUAGGUUUUUACAUUAAGAGGUGAGACACCCUGGAAGAAGAAUAACGACCACAAACAAUAAGUCCUAAGUCCUGCAAGUGGAAUGAAGAUCCCACACAAGUCUGUCUGAUCUCUUCUGUUGAAGCUCUCCCAUUCAUACUAAUCUAUUCCAAAGAUCACAUUACUCCUUCACUGUGAGCGCCUCCAUUCACACAGGCACUCAUCCAGAAUUAUGUUGAGAACAUAUUGCAGAAGCCCUGCAUUUCAGAGCUAAAAACCAUGUGGUUUUUAGCAGACAGACCUUUCCAAGAAGACAACACAUGCAUGAAGUUUAAACUGCUCCAUACACAGUGGAAAAUCUAUCUUCUCUGCAGGACUACAUCCCGAAUCCUUUUGCAACCAUGCAUACAGGGUGAAAAGCUUCAGACCAUCAGAAUAGAUGGUGCUUUCUCUGUCUGCCACAAGAGCAUAUUGCUCUCUGCAAGUAAUGCAGAAACAUUGAAUAUCAAGGAAACAGGACACAGGUUUUUGGCUUCCUUCAAGUCCACAGAAAUCCCUAAUGAGGCCCACACAGCCCAUUUGUACGAAGGAUCAUGCUCAGAUAACAAGCAGGGAUGGGAUUUUCUGCAUGUAGGAAUAUCCAUUAGACACUAGAGCUGCAGUUAUAGGUCAUAAACAACCUCAUGGAUCUAUAGUCACUCCAGAGCUUGCCAAAAGCAAUUGCUUCUGGACUGCUACAGUUUCCAAACCCACUGACUCAGUGCCUAAAACUGACAGGUGAGCAUCUGGACCAUCAUUAUGGCAAUAUGAAAAUAGUAUCAUCUGUGUCAAUAAGCAUCCACUAAUAUCUCUGGCCUUUGAUUUCUGCUGUCAUUUUAGAACAUAAUUUUAUUUCAGCUAUUGGAUUUUGGAAAAGGAUUAAGGAGAUAAGAAGCUGGUGUUUGAAACAACCAUUUGAGAUGAAAAGCAGAAACAAUGAAAAAUUCAGUAGCUACUCACAAUAUUCACAGUUAUUUUAAAACAAUUGACUUUGUUACAUACAAAUACAAUAAAUACAGUCUUAGCUUUUUAAUGUGGAUGUGA
rnacentral:lncRNA from 1 species